rnacentral:rRNA from 1 species
GACGAACGCUGGCGGCGUGCUUAACACAUGCAAGUCGAACGAAGUGGCGAACGGGUGAGUAACGCGUAAUCAAUCUGCCCUUCAGAGGGGGACAACAGUUGGAAACGACUGCUAAUACCGCAUACUCACGCUGGGGUUUGCGUCUGAUUAGCUAGUUGGGGGGGUAACGGCCCACCAAGGCGAUGAUCAGUAGCCGGACUGGGAGGAGGAACGGCCAAAUUGGGACUGGGACACGGCCCAGACUCCUAAGGGAGGCAGCAGUGGGGAAACUUCCGGAAUGGACGAAAGUCUGACGGAGCAACGCCGCGUGAGUGAUGAAGGCCUUCGGGUUGUAAAGCUCUGUUAAUCGGGACGCGGUAACGGAAAAGAAAGCCACGGCUAACUACGUGCCAGCAGCCGCGGUAAUAG